UAUUCUAUACUAAAGAAAAACCCAUGACUCCUUACAGACAGUCACGACACAACUUUGACCUAAUUAGUCAAUCAGUCAAAACAACCAUCACCAGAGCCCAAUUAACAAAUCACUUUUGAUAUCACAAUCUCCAUAACACAUUCCACAUGUGCCAAACAACAGGAGCAGCAAAUAGAGAUAAGAAUUGUUUUCUCUUCUUUCUCUGUGCUUUCUCACUGCCUUCCCCAGGAGAAAUCCUGGGAAGGUUGUGCUUGCUGGUCUCUGUGAAGAGAGCUGCAUCCAUACACAAUGUCCUGGCUUCUCUUGAAAAAGGAGGAUUAGAGCUUCUUGACACUAUUUCUCUGGUUUAAAGCAGAUGGCCCAAAGAAGACUCCCAUUUUCCCAGAGGUGUGGAAAGAAUUAUAUUUAUCCAGAUGCCCACCUAAAAUCUCUCUUAGAAUGUGUCAAAACAAUGACAGUUGGAGAGCUGACAGGUGCAUGCAGCAGUGAGCCUCUGAGAGGUCUCAAACAUUUCAGCUGAUGAAAGCAAAGUAGUAACCGGGCAAGAAAAAGCAGGGACCACAAAAGAACUUGGAUAAUAAAUAUUCCUCCGCAGGGACCCAAUCAGCUCCACCCAAGGAGAUCAGCAGUUCAGUGUUGCUUCCUUCCAGGGUAAAGCGAGAGGAUACUGUGCAGCAUCUCCUGAGAGACCAGGAAAUCUUCUGGAGGCUUUUCUCUUCAUGGAAAAGAGAGGAAAUUCCAUUUUGUUGGAAGAGCACUGCUGUCUACACAUUUUUUGUAAGAAAUGCCAUUUGAUGAGUUCAGGUCAGGAUUCCUGUCUCCUGUGUCAACCCUCUGACACAGGCACUGAGUCACAUGACACUGUCUUUACCUCAUCCUCAGAAAACUAUGCCUUCACCAAAUGUCUGUAUAUCUCCUGGUCUUUAGGUGUGGUGUCUCAGUUUGCGUGUGCAGGAGGGAAGGUGAAUGAUCUAUACAGGCAUAUUGCAUUAAUGGGUGGAUUUUUUUGAAGCCUCUGUGUGUGUGAGAAUGUAAGACUUUGAGGAUGGGGGUGACCCCUGCUGAUGUCACUGAGAAGUUUUGACAUUGGAAAAGGGCAUGAGGAAAAGAGGUGAUCAGUGGUGGGACCCCUUGAGUCAACCACAAAAACUGAGCUUAGCUGUGAUUCUUAAGCUGAUAUCCAUGAGUUUUAGAUGCUAAACAGAUUUGCUGCUGCACAGGGCUGAUUUAAAUGAAGAGUAUGACAAAACUUUAGAGGUAUACUGAAGCUUGACACUGAGCAUUGCUUCUUGGAUUUUUUUGGAAAUGAGGGGCUCCAGACACCACCAGUGAUUUUGCACAUCUAAGAAUGAGAGUGCACCUGAGUUGCACAUCUACCCUGUCAGCCCUGCAGCAGGCUUCUGUCUUUGAACAUAACCUCAGAAGCUAUGAAGGAUCUUGGGCUACAGAAAUGGGUACAAAAACCUGUUGAAUGAGCAUUAUAUUUGAUUGUGGUGCCAUGUUCAGACCCCAAACAUGAGUCCCUGCCUGCAGUUUCACAGCUCAGGAGCUCGUUCUUGUAAAACUUUGUGCCCCUGGACUCAUCAAGUCACAGAACCUCCCUCUCCAGCUCCUCCUGGCCCUGCCCACGCUGGCCAUCCAUGGCACCAGGAGGAGGCAGCCUGUGAGGGAGAUGCCAAGCAGCAUGAGCCCUGCUUUCACUUCCUACUCACUCCCUCUUCCAGGCACAGCACUGCUGGUCAGGGUCCACCACUCCCUAAGAUGAGCAUGGGACAUGCCAGGGUGUUCUCUCCAGCAUCAUCCAGGUAGUUUUCAACACUAGGUUCUUUCUUUUUCCUAAUUAGCUCUUUAAUUGCUAUUUUUGCCAAGCCUUUUUUUUUUUUUUUUUUUUUGUCCCAUGAGGGCUUAGGGCUUGGUUAGGCGGGAUUAAGACCCUUGAAGGGACACGGUAAAGGUUCUCUGCAGUUUGCCAGCAUAAAGCUUUUCAUCUCACUAAAAUCCACAGGUAUGCUUUCUGUGAGAGAAUGAAUUUUCCUUCUUUUUUCCCUUCUCUACCUCUGACAAAGGAAGCACUACUCCUGCUUUUCAGUGCCCCUGUAGGAUUUUUUUCCUUAUCCAUAACAUUCCCCCUACCUCCUUCCACAUAUCCCAGGGAGAAUCAGACCACCGCUAUACCACUGCAGCUUCGAGUCAUGCUGCUUCCUUCAUCCUCCACUGCCUGCCUGGCUGUGAAGGCAUCCUAACAACUCCCACAGCCUCUGAGUGCAGCAGGAUGGGCAGAGCUACUGGCAGAGCUUGCUUUCAGCUCUCGGAGCUGAAGCGGUUGACAGAUGUUCGGAGGAUUUCUUGUCUCUGGACCAGCACUUCAUCUGUUCCAAGUUAUUCAAAACACAAACAGUGGGUUGGCAGGAGUGAAAUAUGUUCAGAACCAGGAUGUCAAAACAGAAAUAUAUUUUUAAAAGACAAGUGUCAAAAAAAAAAAAAAAGGAAGGUGUUCAUGCAGUUUAUAGGAAGAUGUACUGAAAUAGUUGAGAUUUUCUUCUUUUAACCCCUUGGGCUCCCAUCUGACACGCUAUUCCACUAUGUCUAUAGUGGUUUUCUUGCUUAAAUGUUAACAAGGGCAUUUUGGGUCCUGGGUCCCUCGUUUACUGAUGGAUGGAUUUGCCACAUUUACAAGGUGUUUGGACUACCAGUUAGCAACAUAAUUUGGGACUAUCCUGUCAAGCGUACUGUUGUAAAAUUGAAGUGAGAUCCUGAAAUGUGUUGAGUGGUACUGUUGAACAGAGUGGUGGAGGAGACAUUUAGUAAGAAAGAAAAUUAUUCCGAAAAAAUAGAGAGGAGCAGGGCAGAGAUAGAGAGGAGAGCAUGGCAGAAGUAAAAGAUGGCUCGAAUCUAGAGAAGAGAGGCAUCUCUGCUUAUUUCAAUUCAUAGUCUAUAUAGAAAGAAGAGUUUCAGGGUCCUGUAGCAGAUGCAGCUUGCCUGCAGCCUCCUUUGGUUACAUGUGCAUAGUAAGGCAUGGGUGGUAGCUGACAGCAAAGUGAAUCAGCACCAGAGCCCUCUGAAAAGAGCUGUGCUGCUUUGGGUGAGUUUUAGUAAUCAGGUGUUUGUAACUCCAGUCACAGAUAGAAAAGAAUUCCUCUGCAAAACCAGUUCUAAUAAAAUUUGAGAGAAAGGAUAGGAAGCAAGUGUUUAAAUAGGCAAUGGAAACAAAGAAAAAGGUAAAAUUAUUUCAAUUAUGCUUUUUUCUUAUUUAGUGUGGUGAUUACCUCAGCAAAAGAGAGGAACAAAAAAAUAUAAAAAAACAACAGUCCAAGAAUGUUGAAAGUUUUCAUGUCCUAUCAAAAUGCAUUUUGGCCAGCAAACGAUCUGUCACUAUUACAAUAAGGAUGUCAUAGGAUACGAGUAUCAUCCCAUUAUUGCUCUCCACUAAUAAAUCAGCAAAAUUCUGCUUUGCUGUCUUUCCCCAGUUGUGGAAAUAAUUCUUUCUUCAGCUGUUGGUGCUGUUCACAUGGGUCUCAUCCACAUAAUUUUCUGUUCUCGUUGUAAUCCUUGUCAUCAGGACAGAGUCACGCAGUAAUGUUACCCAAUCUAAUGAUAAUCUUUGACCUGCAAAUUAAUCUGUUGCUAUGCUUUAUUUUUGAUGAGAACAUUUUUGAUGACAGUGGAUGCUUGGUGUCUUAUUGCUGUUCAGUGUCGUGACAAUGUGCUCGGUAAGAACAUUUUGGGAUUUUUAGAAGCUUUCUGUUCUCAUGGCAAAUUGUACUGAUGCUCUGGCAUUCUCCGUUUUUGUUGAGAUUUGAUGUGAAACUGAAAGCUCCAAAUGUACAUACAUGGUGGAUUUAUGAAUUCUAGUUUUGAGAUUGCAGAACUUUUAUUACCUUUAUAACAGUCUGGACUGUGACUUAGUGCCCAUUCAUUUUUCUUCCCAAUAGAUAGAUGGCUGUGUGACUAGUUAAAAGUGAGAGGACUGCUUUUCUUUUUAUAUUUGUGCAAUUCUGCUUGCUUCAGACCAGCUGAACCUGACUGAUAUUAAUGCCAAUAAAGAAUUGAGCAAAAUCUGCCU